rnacentral:rRNA from 1 species
AGGCUUAACACAUGCAAGUCGAGGGCCAGCACGAAUGUAGCAAUACAUUGGUGGCGACCGGCGCACGGGUGAGUAACGCGUAUGCAACCUACCUAUCAGAGGGGAAUAACCCGGCGAAAGUCGGACUAAUACCGCAUAAAACAGGGGUUCCACAUGGAAAUAUUUGUUAAAGAAUUAUCGCUGAUAGAUGGGCAUGCGUUCCAUUAGAUAGUUGGUGAGGUAACGGCUCACCAAGUCCACGAUGGAUAGGGGUUCUGAGAGGAAGGUCCCCCACACUGGUACUGAGACACGGACCAGACUCCUACGGGAGGCAGCAGUGAGGAAUAUUGGUCAAUGGGCGAGAGCCUGAACCAGCCAAGUCGCGUGAAGGAUGAAGGAUCUAUGGUUUGUAAACUUCUUUUAUAUGGGAAUAAAGUGAGGAACGUGUUCCUUUUUGUAUGUACCAUAUGAAUAAGCAUCGGCUAACUCCGUGCCAGCAGCCGCGGUAAUACGGAGGAUGCGAGCGUUAUCCGGAUUUAUUGGGUUUAAAGGGUGCGUAGGUGGUUAAUUAAGUCAGCGGUGAAAGUUUGUGGCUCAACCAUAAAAUUGCCGUUGAAACUGGUUGACUUGAGUAUAUUUGAGGUAGGCGGAAUGCGUGGUGUAGCGGUGAAAUGCAUAGAUAUCACGCAGAACUCCGAUUGCGAAGGCAGCUUACUAAACUAUAACUGACACUGAAGCACGAAAGCGUGGGGAUCA